AGAGUUUGAUCCUGGCUCAGAUUGAACGCUGGCGGCAGGCCUAAUACAUGCAAGUCGAACGGUAACUGGAGAAAAGCUUGCUUUUCUUGCAGACGAGUGGCGGACGGGUGAGUAAUAUUUGGGAAGCUACCUGAUAGAGGGGGACAACAGUUGGAAACGACUGCUAAUACCGCAUAUAGCCUGAGGGUGGAAGCAGCAAUGCGCUAUCAGAUGCGCCCAAACGGGAUUAGCUAGUAGGUGAGGUAAAGGCUCACCUAGGCGACGAUCUCUAGCUGGUCUGAGAGGAUGAUCAGCCACAUUGGGACUGAGACACGGCCCACACUCCUACGGGAGGCAGCAGUAGGGAAUAUUGCACAAUGGGGGAAACCCUGAUGCAGCCAUGCCGCGUGUGUGAAGAAGGCCUUCGGGUUGUAAAGCACUUUCGGAGGGGAGGAACAAAUGACGUUACCCUCAGAAGAAGCACCGGCUAACUCCGUGCCAGCAGCCGCGGUAAUACGGAGGGUGCAAGCGUUAAUCGGAAUAACUGGGCGUAAAGGGCAUGCAGGCGGUCGGACAAGUAGGAUGUGAAAUCCUGGGGCUCAACCUCAGAACUGCAUUCUAAACUGUUCGACUAGAGUAUUGCAGGGGGAGACGGAAUUUCAGGUGUAGCGGUGGAAUGCGUAAAUAUCUGAAAAGAACACCGAUGGCGAAGGCAGUCUCCUGGGCAAAUACUGACGCUCAUAUGCGAAAGCGUGAGUAAGCAAACAGGAUUAGAUCCCCUGGUAGUCCCCGCCCGUAAACGAUGUUCAUUAAGGAGCUUGGG
rnacentral:rRNA from 1 species